rnacentral:rRNA from 1 species
GUGGGUAGCAAACAGGAUUAGAUACCCUGGUAGUCCACGCUGUAAACGAUGGACGCUAGGUGUUGGUGGUUAGUAGCCAUCAGUGCCGAAGCUAACGCGUUAAGCGCCCCGCCUGGGGAGUACGGCCGCAAGGCUGAAACUCAAAGGAAUUGACGGGGGCCCGCACAAGCGGUGGAGCACGUGGUUUAAUUCGAUG